rnacentral:rRNA from 1 species
CACGUAGGGCGCAAGCGUUGUCCGGAAUUAUUGGGCGUAAAGAGCUCGUAGGCGGUCUGUUGCGUCCGCUGUGAAAACUCGGGGCUUAACCCCGAGCCUGCAGUGGAUACGGGCAGACUAGAGGUAGGUAGGGGAGAAUGGAAUUCCCGGUGUAGCGGUGAAAUGCGCAGAUAUCGGGAGGAACACCGGUGGCGAAGGCAGGUCUCUGGGCAUUAACUGACGCUGAGGAGCGAAAGCAUGGGGAGCGAACAGG